rnacentral:rRNA from 1 species
AUUGAACGCUGGCGGCAUGCCUUACACAUGCAAGUCGAACGGCAGCGGGGACUUCGGUCCGCCGGCGAGUGGCGAACGGGUGAGUAAUGCAUCGGAACGUACCCGGAAGUGGGGGAUAACGUAGCGAAAGUUACGCUAAUACCGCAUAUUCUGUGAGCAGGAAAGAGGGGGAUCUUCGGACCUCUUGCUUUCGGAGCGGCCGAUGUCAGAUUAGCUAGUUGGUGAGGUAAAGGCUCACCAAGGCGACGAUCUGUAGCGGGUCUGAGAGGAUGGUCCGCCACACUGGAACUGAGACACGGUCCAGACUCCUACGGGAGGCAGCAGUGGGGAAUUUUGGACAAUGGGCGCAAGCCGGAUCCAGCCAUGCCGCGUGAGUGAAGAAGGCCUUCGGGUUGUAAAGCUCUUUCGGCCGGGAAGAAAUCGCAUGGAUUAAUACUCUGUGCGGAUGACGGUACCGGCAUAAGAAGCACCGGCUAACUACGUGCCAGCAGCCGCAGUAA